ensembl:miRNA
AGAUUGUAUUAGGUUGGUACAAAAGCAAUCAUGGUUUUUGCUGUUACUUUCAAUGGCAAAAGCCGCAAUCACUUUUGCACCAACCUAAUAAAUUU